AGAGCGUAUGGUGGAUGCCUUGGCACUAAGAGCCGAUGAAAGACGUGAUAAGCUGCGAAAAGCUUCGGGGAGGAGCAAAUAUCCUACGAUCCGGAGAUAUCUGAAUGGGGAAACCCGGCGGAGCAACCCUCCGUCAUCUUAACGCGAAUCCAUAACGUUAAGAAGGGAACCCGGUGAACUGAAACAUCUAAGUAGCCGGAGGAAGAGAAAGAAACAUCGAUUCUGUGAGUAGCGGCGAGCGAAAGCGGAAGAGCCCAAACCGACCUGCGUGCAGGUCGGGGUUCGGACUGCAAAAUUGACGAGCGAGUCUAAUGGAAAGGUUUUGGGAAAGCCUGCCAGAGAGGGUGAAAGCCCCGUACAUGAAAGACGAGUGAGCAUGGCAGUAUCCAGAGUACCACGAGACACGAGAAACCUUGUGGGAAUGAGCGGGGACCACCCCGUAAGGCUAAAUACUCCUUAGUGACCGAUAGCGCAUAGUACUGUGAAGGAAAGGUGAAAAGGACCCCGGGAGGGGAGUGAAAGAGAACCUGAAACCAUAUGUUUACAAGCUGUGGAAGAGCUUUACAUGCUCAACCGCGUACUUUUUGUAGAACGGUCCGGCGAGUUGCGCUGGCUGGCGAGGUUAAGGACUGAAGGUCCGGAGCCGAAGGGAAACCAAGUCUGAAUAGGGCGAAUAUAGUCAGUCGGAGCAGACCCGAAACCGGGUGAUCUACCCAUGUCCAGGUUGAAGUUGCCGUAAAAGGCAAUGGAGGACCGAACGCACAUCCGUUGAAAAGGGUGGCGAUGAGGUGUGGGUAGGGGAGAAAUUCCAAUCGAACCCGGAGAUAGCUGGUUCUCCUCGAAAUAGCUUUAGGGCUAGCCUCAUACGAGUCUUGCGGAGGUAGAGCACUGAAUUUCCUAGGGGGCGUCAAAGCUUACCGAAGAAUAUCAAACUCCGAAUGCCGCGUAGAUGAUGUAUGGGAGUCAGACUAUACGAGAUAAGUUGGAUAGUCGAAAGGGAAAGAGCCCAGACCACCGGCUAAGGUCCCAAAAUGUGUGUUAAGUGGAAAAGGAUGUGGGAUUUCGAAGACAACCAGGAUGUUGGCUUAGAAGCAGCCAUACAUUAAAAGAGUGCGUAAUAGCUCACUGGUCGAGAGGUCCUGCGCCGAAAAUGUCCGGGGCUGAAACACACUACCGAAGCCGUGGAAUCAUCGAAUGAUGAUUGGUAGAGGAGCAUUCUUAAAGAGAAGAAGCUGUACUGUAAAGAGCAGUGGAUUUUUAAGAAGAGAGAAUGCCGGAAUGAGUAGCGAGAGGAAGGUGAGAAUCCUUCCGGCCGAAUAUCUAAGGUUUCCAGAGUAAAGCUGAUCUGCUCUGGGUAAGUCGGGGCCUAAGGCGAGGUCGAAAGACGUAGUCGAUGGAUAACAGGUUGAAAUUCCUGUACUAUGAUAUGACAGAACUGUGGGGACACGUGUGGAAAGCGGAAGCCGGGAAUGGAAAGACCGGUGCAAGCAAGGUAGGAGACUGGUUGGCAAAUCCGCCAGUUAAUCUGAAGAUGUGAUGCGUACUGAAAUAUAAGUAAGGAAGUCCGUGAGCCAUGCGUCAAGAAAAGCCGCUAUUGUUCAUAUCGUACCCGUACCGUAAACCGACACAGGUGGAUGAGGAGAGAAUCCUAAGGCCGACGGGAGAAGCAUUGUUAAGGAACUCGGCAAAAUGACCCCGUAACUUCGGGAGAAGGGGUGCCCUGUGAAAGCAGGGCCGCAGAGAAUAGGCUCAAGCAACUGUUUAGCAAAAACACAGGUCUAUGCGAAACCGAAAGGUGAGGUAUAUGGGCUGACGCCUGCCCGGUGCUGGAAGGUUAAGAGGAGAAGUCAGGCAACGAAGCUUCGAAUUUAAGCCCCAGUAAACGGCGGCCGUAACUAUAACGGUCCUAAGGUAGCGAAAUUCCUUGUCGGGUAAGUUCCGACCCGCACGAAAGGCGUAAUGAUUUGAGCACUGUCUCGACAAUGCAUCCGGUGAAAUUGAAGUACCAGUGAAGAUGCUGGUUACCUGCGCCAGGACGGAAAGACCCCAUGGAGCUUUACUCCAGCUUGAUACUGGGAUUCGAUACUGUAUGUACAGGAUAGGUGGGAGACGUUGAGCAUAGAACGCCAGUUUUAUGUGAGUCGCUGUUGGGAUACCACCCUUGCAGUAUUGGAUUUCUAACCUGCACCCAUGACCUGGGUGGGGGACAAUGUCUGGCGGGGAGUUUGACUGGGGCGGUCGCCUCCGAAAGGGUAUCGGAGGCGCUCAAAGGUUCCCUCAGAAUGGUUGGAAACCAUUCGAAGAGUGCAAAGGCAGAA
rnacentral:rRNA from 1 species